UACGUAGGGCGCAAGCGUUGUCCGGAAUUAUUGGGCGUAAAGAGCUCGUAGGCGGUUUGUCGCGUCUGCUGUGAAAACCUAAGGCUCAACCUUGGGCUUGCAGUGGGUACGGGCAGACUGGAGUGUGGUAGGGGGAGACUGGAAUUCCUGGUGUAGCGGUGGAAUGCGCAGAUAUCAGGAGGAACACCGAUGGCGAAGGCAGGUCUCUGGGCCACUACUGACGCUGAGAAGCGAAAAGCAUGGGGGAGCGAACAGG
rnacentral:rRNA from 1 species